rnacentral:rRNA from 1 species
GAGAGUUUGAUCCUGGCUCAGGAUGAACGCUAGCUACAGGCUUAACACAUGCAAGUCGAGGGGCAGCAUGGUCUUAGCUUGCUAAGGCCGAUGGCGACCGGCGCACGGGUGAGUAACGCGUAUCCAACCUGCCUUACACUCUUGGACAGCCUUCUGAAAGGGAGAUUAAUACAAGAUGUUAUCAUGAGUAAGCAUUUUCGCAUGAUUAAAGGUUUACCGGUGUAAGAUGGGGAUGCGUUCCAUUAGAUAGUAGGCGGGGUAACGGCCCACCUAGUCUUCGAUGGAUAGGGGUUCUGAGAGGAAGGUCCCCCACAUUGGAACUGAGACACGGUCCAAACUCCUACGGGAGGCAGCAGUGAGGAAUAUUGGUCAAUGGACGAGAGUCUGAACCAGCCAAGUAGCGUGAAGGAUGAAGGUUCUAUGGAUUGUAAACUUCUUUUAUACGGGAAUAAACGAAUCCACGCGUGGAUUUUUGCAUGUACCGUAUGAAUAAGGAUCGGCUAACUCCGUGCCAGCAGCCGCGGUAAUACGGAGGAUCCGAGCGUUAUCCGGAUUUAUUGGGUUUAAAGGGAGCGUAGAUGGGUUGUUAAGUCAGUUGUGAAAGUUUGCGGCUCAACCGUAAAAUUGCAAUUGAUACUGGCAGUCUUGAGUACAGUUGAGGUAGGCGGAAUUCGUGGUGUAGCGGUGAAAUGCUUAGAUAUCACGAAGAACUCCGAUUGCGAAGGCAGCUUACUAACCUGUAACUGACAUUGAUGCUCGAAAGUGUGGGUAUCAAACAGGAUUAGAUACCCUGGUAGUCCACACGGUAAACGAUGAAUACUCGCUGUAGGCGAUAUACAGUCUGCGGCCAAGCGAAAGCAUUAAGUAUUCCACCUGGGGAGUACGCCGGCAACGGUGAAACUCAAAGGAAUUGACGGGGGCCCGCACAAGCGGAGGAACAUGUGGUUUAAUUCGAUGAUACGCGAGGAACCUUACCCGGGCUUAAAUUGCAACCGAAUAUGGCGGAAACGCUAUAGCUAGCAAUAGCGGUUGUGAAGGUGCUGCAUGGUUGUCGUCAGCUCGUGCCGUGAGGUGUCGGCUUAAGUGCCAUAACGAGCGCAACCCUUGCCGAUAGUUACUAACAGGUUAUGCUGAGGACUCUGUCGGGACUGCCAUCGUAAGAUGUGAGGAAGGUGGGGAUGACGUCAAAUCAGCACGGCCCUUACGUCCGGGGCUACACACGUGUUACAAUGGGGGGUACAGAGGGCUGCUACCACGCAAGUGGAUGCCAAUCCCAAAAACCUCUCUCAGUUCGGAUUGAAGUCUGCAACCCGACUUCAUGAAGCUGGAUUCGCUAGUAAUCGCGCAUCAGCCACGGCGCGGUGAAUACGUUCCCGGGCCUUGUACACACCGCCCGUCAAGCCAUGGGAGCCGGGGGUACCUGAAGUGCGUAACCGCAAGGAGCGCCCUAGGGUAAAACUGGUGACUGGGGCUAAGUCGUAACAAGGUAGCCG